CACGGGGAUUGCCCCUGGAACGGCGAGUGAAGCGGCAAUAGCUCAAAUUUGAAAUCUGGCCUUCGGGUCCGAGUUGUAAUUUGUAGAGGAUGCUUUUGGCGCGGUGCCUUCCGAGUUCCCUGGAACGGGACGCCUUAGAGGGUGAGAGCCCCGUACGGUUGGACACCAAGCCUCUGUAAAGCUCCUUCGACGAGUCGAGUAGUUUGGGAAUGCUGCUCUAAAUGGGAGGUAAAUUUCUUCUAAAGCUAAAUAUUGGCCAGAGACCGAUAGCGCACAAGUAGAGUGAUCGAAAGAUGAAAAGCACUUUGAAAAGAGGGUUAAAUAGUACGUGAAAUUGUUGAAAGGGAAGCGUUUGCGACCAGACCUUUUCCUGGCGGAUCAUCCGGUGUUCUCACCGGUGCACUUCGCCAGGUUUAGGCCAGCAUCGGUUUUCGCAGGGGGAUAAAAGCUCUGGGAACGUAGCUCCUCCGGGAGUGUUAUAGCCCUCUGCAUAAUACCCUUGCGGGGACCGAGGACCGCGCUUCGGCAAGGAUGCUGGCGUAAUGGUCGUCAACGACCCGUCUUGAAAACACGGACCAAG
rnacentral:rRNA from 1 species